rnacentral:rRNA from 1 species
UACGGAGGGUGCGAGCGUUGUCCGGAAUCACUGGGCGUAAAGGGCGCGUAGGUGGCGCGACAAGUCAACGGUGAAAGCUCGGCGCUCAACGCCGAGUCGGCCGUCGAUACUGUUGGGCUUGAGCACUGUAGAGGCUAAUGGAAUUCCGGGUGUAGCGGUGGAAUGCGUAGAGAUCCGGAAGAACACCGGUGGCGAAGGCGGUUAGCUGGGCAGUUGCUGGAC